rnacentral:rRNA from 1 species
ACGUAGGUGGCAAGCGUUAUCCGGAAUUAUUGGGCGUAAAGCGCGCGCAGGCGGUUUCUUAAGUCUGAUGUGAAAGCCCACGGCUCGACCGUGGAGGGUCAUUGGAAACUGGGGAACUUGAGUGCAGAAGAGAAAAGCGGAAUUCCACGUGUAGCGGUGAAAUGCGUAGAGAUGUGGAGGAACACCAGUGGCGAAGGCGGCUCACUGGACCGGUUCUGACGCUGAGGCGCGAAAGCGUGGGGAGCAAACGGGA